CAACCUUCAAUUGACUUGUGAUGGGUUUGUCCGAGCAUCAUUUCAGGUUCUGGUACCUGAGCAAGGUCACCCUUCAAUAAAUUAAUGUCUGCGUAUGUUUCACACAUGGGGCUGCCUCCGAGCUUAGUCCUUCUCUGCAGACCUGACCGUGGUGAGAAUUGCGAUGCAUCCACGUCACGGACACGCCACCCGUCGAAUCCUCCCUCAGGAAUGUUGGUAGAAUAGUAUUUGUGAAAUCGACGCACAUGCGCAUGAUGGGGUCGUGUCAAACUGCUUGCGCACGUUCACAAUGAAAAGCCUUUUCGAGCAGGAGUUGAAUAUUAACGUCUUUCUUACUAAUUUUUGCUUUUCCUUCACCGAGUGGAUCCCUGAUUCCUGGAUCUGUGGGGAGAAUUUGCAGCCAUUUGUAGAUUUUGGAGUCCAUUUCAUUAUGUGGUUCUGAGGCUUUUGUUUCGCUCGAGUAAAGGAGUCUGUGGGGUGUGGAGCAGGGGAUGCGAACCCUUGGUAAUCCUUGGAUCCAGGAUUUUUGAUGAAUUGUCCACCAACUUUUGCACGUUUGCACCGUUUGAGCCAUGUGGGUUCAAUUGCUGUUUUGUGGGAAAGCAAUGGCAUGGAGAUGGAGUGUGUAGAGCAGGAGUCGUAGAUGUUUAGGGCAAACCUUAGCCAGCGGGAGUGGAUCUACGCUUGUGUUCUCCAUCGUUGUAGAGCGCUUGUGAAUUUCGGAUCAUUCGGGGUAUGUGCAUUCUUUAAAUCAAGGGGAGUUGAUUGGAGUAGUAUACGAGUGCACCGAGGAGUUUGAUUCAAGGUAAUGGAAAUCCGGAUUUGUUAAGGUCGUGCAGGGGCGAUUGGCAAUUGGCGGAAAUGGCGAUGGUCAAUGGGGAUUGCAAUGGGGCGCAGUGGUCGGGUUUUUAGACACCGUGGUUGGAUUUGCUGCCGGUUCUGCCGAGUCUGCUGAUUCUGCUUACCCACGCGGUUAGGAGGGGUUGUAGGGUUUCAAAGCUAUGGCGGUGGUGACAUUGCACGUGUAUGAUGUGACCAACAGCAUAAGUGAUGGUGCGAAUAAAGCCAUUUCGAGUCUGAAUAGAAUCAUGCGCGGCGGAAUUGGAAUCGGUGGCAUCUUUCAUGGUGCUGUGGAGGUGUACGGCAAAGAAUGGUCUUUUGGGUAUUGUGAAAGUGGCAGUGGUGUCUUCCCGUGUACACCGAUGCGAAAUCCCAUGUAUAAUUACAGAGAAAGUUUGACAUUGGGAAGCACCGAUCUUUCACGCCUGAGUGUGGAUACAGCCCUGCUGGAGCUCAGUCGAGAGUGGCAGGGUGCCUCCUAUGACCUCCUGGCUCGCAAUUGCAACCAUUUCUGUGAUGCCUUCUGUGAAAGGCUUGGUGUGGAUAAAGUGCCACCAUGGGUGAACAGAUUUGCAAAUGCUGGGGAUGCUGCAUUCGUAGUGGCGGAAAAUACCAUAACACGGUUAAAUCAAGCAAAAGAGGGUGUGUUAUCAGCGAGCAGGAGGGCCAUGCAGUUCGUGUUUGGAUCGGCUGCAUCCUCAUCAGCUCCUCCCGUGGAGUCCUCUGCAACAGAAUCACCUGGUAAUGCAAAUCUGCCUUCAUUGGAAAAUCCAUCACAACUUCCUCGAAAUGGUUCAUCCCCAACAUUAUCUCAGGACAGCCUUUUGUCCCUGGAAGAAAGUUCAUCUGAUUCCGACUGUGAUGAUGACAGUAAACCACCUCCAUGAUGUGUCGCUGUUUAUAGCUCAUCUUGUCCUGGCAAUUCAACCACAGUCGUACGCAUCUGAAAGGCAAAGACUUAGAAAUCCAAGUUUGCAGCAGCUGUGGAGAACAGUGUUUAGCACUCCACGAACCUCCAACUUCUUUAAUCCGUCUGAUCCAAGUGUUUCUACUCUCAAUGACUAUUUGGGGACGGCUGAUCCUGUGAGGGAUCCUCCUCGGCCACCUCGACCAGCCUCCACCUCAAGAAGCAGCACAUCCAACUUCUAGACAGGAACACACACCAGCUUGUCGAAGUUAUGUACCCUAAACCUUUUGAGGAUAUUCCAACCAUGAUUUCAUUCCACUCAGAUCGGUUUCACUGGAUUGACAUGCUUAUUCCUACACCUAGACUUCCAAGGGACUAAUUAAACUUCUUAAACAAUAUUCAACUGAUAAAGGGCCAUAAGCUAUGAAGUGUACAGUAUACGCAUGGAUGAGGUCAAGUUCUCGUGCUGUUAUCUAGAAAGCAUUUACUCUAAUUAUUUCGGUGUUCCUUCGGAUCGAUUGUAAACACCGAUUUGGGAAUUUUGUUGAGUGAGCAUAAAUGUUAUUAACCGAACACAGAUAAACGCCUAAGGUUGAGGAGGGCUGUGCUAAUUAUCAUUGUAAGAUGAAAAAUCCUAGGUUAGCUACAUGUUGAUAAUCUAGUGCUCGACGAAUCCAACAAAUCUAGUGUUGUUUUCCAGGGUUCCCUUCUGUUAUGAACUCGUUUCCCAUCUGAAUCUUGCGCAGUUUUCAGGUCAUAGAUAUCAACAAAGAUGUGCAGAAGCUGUCUCGGCCACUACCAGAUGCCGUCAUCGGCCGAGGCCUGUGCACCACGAGAUUCAAUAGACAAUCACUGACAGUUAAGGAACGGUGUUGGGAUAUGCUGGCUUUUUCCUCCGUCUUCAUCUGAAGGUUGAAAAUCUAUCGACAACAUCUCCUCGGUCUGUAACGAUCAUAUCCAGAGUCAAUGUAAUCAUCCACGCAGCACACGCACUGGCAUUGGAAGACAGUUUGACCUUGAGAGUGGAUCAUGAAUCCACUCUCGUUUACAAAUCGAUCACCCCUCUUCGCUUUCCACCCAUAGUCUUGUUUGCAGCUCCAGCCCUCUUUGCCAGAAUCCCAGGACAUUUUCAUCAGAGCAGAUCUGCAGCCCUGUGUCACUUCUGCUACUUCUAGUAACAUGUUCUCUUUGUUAGUUUCUCAUGGGUCCUCUUCGAACAAACCCCAAAAACAUUCUCCGAUGAUCAAUUGUGAGACGUUGACUGAACAAUUCAUCAAGUCGGACUGAUAUCUCUCGGAUAACAUGUAGUCUAAAAUAAUACAAAUUGUGGCAAAGUCUAUUCUAUUA